rnacentral:rRNA from 1 species
AGGUAAGUACUUGUACUUAUGCUGACGAGUGGCGGACGGGUGAGUAAUGCUUGGGGAUCUGUCUUAUGGAGGGGGAUAACUACGGGAAACUGUAGCUAAUACCGCGUAUUAUCGGGAGAUGAAAGUGUGGGACCGUAAGGCCACAUGCCAUAGGGUGAGCCCAAGUGGGAUUAGGUAGUUGGUGGGGUAAAGGCCUACCAAGCCGACGAUCUCUAGCUGGUCUGAGAGGAUGACCAGCCACACCGGGACUGAGACACGGCCCGGACUCCUACGGGAGGCAGCAGUGGGGAAUAUUGCGCAAUGGGGGCAACCCUGACGCAGCCAUGCCGCGUGAAUGAAGAAGGCCUUCGGGUUGUAAAGUUCUUUCGGUGUUGAGGAAGGCUGAUGUGUUAAUAGCAUAUCAGAUUGACGUUAGACACAGAAGAAGCACCGGCUAACUCCGUGCCAGCAGCCGCGGUAAUACGGAGGGUGCGAGCGUUAAUCGGAAUAACUGGGCGUAAAGGGCACGCAGGCGGACUUUUAAGUGAGGUGUGAAAUCCCCGGGCUUAACCUGGGAAUUGCAUUUCAUACUGGGGGUCUAGAGUACUUUAGGGAGGGGUAGAAUUCCACGUGUAGCGGUGAAAUGCGUAGAGAUGUGGAGGAAUACCGAAGGCGAAGGCAGCCCCUUGGGAAUAUACUGACGCUCAUGUGCGAAAGCGUGGGGAGCAAACAGGAUUAGAUACCCUGGUAGUCCACGCUGUAAACGCUGUCGAUUUGGGGGUUGGGCUUUAAGCUUGGCGCCCGAAGCU